AUUGAACGCUGGCGGCAUGCUUUACACAUGCAAGUCGAACGGCAGCGCGGGGCAACCUGGCGGCGAGUGGCGAACGGGUGAGUAAUACAUCGGAACGUACCCAGAAGUGGGGGAUAACGUAGCGAAAGUUACGCUAAUACCGCAUACGUUCUACGGAAGAAAGUGGGGGACCUUCGGGCCUCAUGCUUUUGGAGCGGCCGAUGUCUGAUUAGCUAGUUGGUGAGGUAAAGGCUCACCAAGGCGACGAUCAGUAGCUGGUCUGAGAGGACGACCAGCCACACUGGGACUGAGACACGGCCCAGACUCCUACGGGAGGCAGCAGUGGGGAAUUUUGGACAAUGGGCGCAAGCCUGAUCCAGCAAUGCCGCGUGAGUGAAGAAGGCCUUCGGGUUGUAAAGCUCUUUUGUCAGGGAAGAAACGGCUGGGGUUAAUACCUUCGGCUAAUGACGGUACCUGAAGAAUAAGCACCGGCUAACUACGUGCCAGCCGCCGCCGUAACAC
rnacentral:rRNA from 1 species